GACGAACGCUGGCGGCGUGCUUAACACAUGCAAGUCGAACGGAAAGGCCCUGCUUUUGUGGGGUGCUCGAGUGGCGAACGGGUGAGUAACACGUGAGUAACCUGCCCUUGACUUUGGGAGAACUUCAUGAAACUGGGGCUAAUACCGGAUAGGAGCUCCUGCUGCAUGGUGGGGGUUGGAAAGUUUCGGCGGUUGGGGAUGGACUCGCGGCUUAUCAGCUUGUUGGUGGGGUAGUGGCUUACCAAGGCUUUGACGGGUAGCCGGCCUGAGAGGGUGACCGGCCACAUUGGGACUGAGAUACGGCACAGACUCCUAUGGGAGGCAGCAGUGGGGAAUAUUGCACAAUGGGAGGAAGCCUGAUGCAGUAACGCCGUGUGCGGGAUGACGGCCUUCGGGUAGUAAUCCGCUUCUGCCUGUGACGAAGUGUGAGUGACGGUAAUGGGUAAAGAAGCACCGGCUAACUACGUG
rnacentral:rRNA from 1 species